GACGAACCGUGCGAACGUUGUUCGGAAUCACUGGGCUUAAAGGGCGCGUAGGCGGGCUGCCGCGUCCGGGGUGAAAUCCUCCCGCUCAACGGGAGAACGGCCUCGGAUACGGGCGGCCUCGAGGGGGGUAGGGGCAUCUGGAACUGUGAGUGGAGCGGUGAAAUGCGUUGAUAUUCACAGGAACUCCGGUGGCGAAGGCGAGGUGCUGGACCCCAUCUGACGCUGAGGCGCGAAAGCUAGGGGAGCAAACGGG
rnacentral:rRNA from 1 species